CCACUGCUGAGGAGUCCCACAAUAGGACGAAACGGCCGUCCAAUGC
rnacentral:hammerhead_ribozyme from 1 species